UGGGGGAUCGUCCAACGGCAGGACAGCGGACUUUGGAUCCGUUAAUCCUGGUUCGAAUCCAGGUCCCCCAG
rnacentral:tRNA from 1 species